UCGAGAAUAUUCCGCAAUGGCCGAAAGGCUGACGGAGCGACGCCGCGUGAUGGAUGAAGGCCUUCGGGUCGUAAACAUCUUUUUUCAGGGACGAACGUUGACGGUACCUGAAGAAUAAGAGGUUGCUAACUCUGUGCCAGCAGCAGCGGUAAUACAGAGACCUCAAGCAUUAUCCGGAUUUAUUGGGCGUAAAGGGUCCGCAGGUGGCAUGGUAAGUUGUUGGUCAAAUCUCCGUGCUCAACACGGAAACUGCCGACAAUACUGCCAAGCUAGAGACAGGGAGAGGUAAGCAGAAUUGCCGGUGUAGGGGUAAAAUCCGUUAAUAUCGGCAAGAAUACCAAAGGCGAAGGCAGCUUACUGGAACUGUUCUGACACUCAGGGACGAAAGCGUGGGGAGCGAAGCAG
rnacentral:rRNA from 1 species